CUUCAGGUCAUCUGACAUCCUGCCCCCCACCCCUUAGUAAAAUGCCUGCUGUUUUAUUCAAGCAGCUACCACCCCACCCCAGUCCUUGGGCCUCAAGGGCACCAGGGCCUGACCCCAGCUCCCAGCAUGAAUAGGGUUGGUUUAAACCAGUCGGCAUGGCCCACAGUGACUGGUUUAGGCAUGGGCCUGUCACCCACACUGGGCCAAUGAUAUGUAAGAUGUUUAUUGUAGCUUCCGGGAUGGAAACUUCUCUGCCAGCUUGUGGGUUGGGCAAGGACGACACUCCGGGCCCUACCGGCGGAAGCUCUGCUCCUGUCGUGCGUGGACCACGCAGCAAAUGGCCUUGGAGGCUGCUGGCAGCCAUCUUGUGACCAUGAGGCAAGUCAGCGCAGGCCGAAGCUGACGACGCGAAGACAAUGAGGAGAGGGAGAAAGAGCCGAUCUUUGGCAUCUAAGCCGGGCACAUUGGCCCAAGCCUGUAAUCCCAGCACUUUGGGAGGCCGAGGCAGGCGGAUCACUUAAGCUCAGGAGUUCGAAACCAGCCUGGCCAAGAUGGUGAAACCCCAUCUCUACUAAAAAUACAAAAGAUUAGCCGGCUGUGAUGACGCGCACCUGUAAUCUCAGCUACUCGGGAGGCUGAGGCACGAGAAUCGCUUGCACCCAGGAGGUGGAGGCUGCAGUGAGCCGAGAUCACGCCAGGGCACUCCGGCCUGGGCGACAGAGUGAGACUUCGUCUCAAGAAAAACCAAAAAUCCAAAAGAACUACAGGCAUCGGCUGUGUCCCCACUAGGAAGCCGGAGGGGAGCAGGGCUGGGUGUGUCUUCUCUGGCUGCGUCCCUGCGGCCACAAGGCCUGUUCUUCCUCUGUGCCCCGCCUGCCAAGGACCCAGCCUUGUGAAGGAUGGAUGAAUGAAUCAUUGAGCAAAUGAAUGAGUGUGUGAACAGGGCGGAUGCCAGAGCCAGAGCAAAGGCCUCGUUAGCCCCUCGGGGAGGGCACGGCAGGGCCGGGCGACUCAGGAGGGCUGCGGGGUGACGUCUGAUUGAGCCUGGAAGGACAGGCCGACCACAGGAUGGAGGCCACAGCAUCCUUCCCGGAGUCUGACCCCACGCUGGAGACAGAGGGGCUGGGCUGGGCUGGGCAACCUAGACCCGGGAGCCCAUCUGUCCAGCCACCAGCGUCCGUCUGUCUGGGUCCCUGCUAGGGAGAGUCUGCAGCAGGGAGACCCCGGCAGCUUCGAGUAUGGAGGGGAGACUCUGGCCGCCUGAGAGCUGGCUGCCAGGUGCUGAGCCGCCCCAAGAAAAAGCCCUCGUGGCAAGAAACUGAGGCCUCCAGCCAGCAGUCAGGGACCCGAGGCCUGAGACGGUGGAGGGUGAGCUUGCAAAGGGACCCCACAGUCGGGCCUUGAGAGGCCCACGGGCCUGGCCCACACCUCGGCUGCAGCCUUGUGAAGGUCCCUGAGCAGGGGACCCAGACUUCUGUCCUACAGAAACUUGGAGAUAAUAAAUGCCUGCUCUUCUACGGCACUGAGUGUCGGGUGAUUUGUUACGGGCAGUAGACAGCUAAUACCUGCCCCUUAGGACACCAAGUCCUCGCCUCCUGGAGGCCCAAGCCCCAGGGAGCCAUGCCUGACUUGCCGCCUGUCGAUGGGCCACGCGUUCCUUGUUGAUGCCAUUCUGGGGUCCCCUCACCCUGACAUACUAGGAGCCAGUUCCGAGGGAGGCUCUUCUGCCACCAACCCUGGCCCAGGGGGACACUGAGCUCCUUGAUGCUGAGGGCCGGUGGUUCCUUAUCGCCUGGCGACCAGCGUGUCCUCCGGGUCCUUUUCCAAUACCAGCACCUCCCAGCUCAAAAACACAACCCAGCACUCCUGUUCCUCCGUCUCCCGGCCCUCCCUCGACACUGGGCCGAGGCAGCCUGUGCACCUGCCCCAAGCUCCCAGGAGCUGACCCAGCAGCGGAUUCGGCCUGGUUCCCGGCAUCCUUACCGGGAUUUGGAAAAUGCUCCUUUCAAUCAAUAAAGGCCCCACGCGGGCCUUCUUCCGCCCUCCCCUCCAGCAUCCUCCAUCUCCAUUUCCACCCGUCCUCCCCGUCCUGCCAGGCCGCAGCUCCUUGCAGAAUAACCCACACCCUCCAGUCGCAGGGACAGAACACCCUAGUUACUGGCCUAGAAUUUUGCGGGGGACGAGGACAGGCAGACCCUAAGGAGGACACUCGCCUCAGGUGAGACCUUUGCAAGGUCCCGGCAGUGGGAGCCACUCCCGCCACUGCGGAGGGAACAGAGGGCAGGGAUCUAAGAGGCUUCUACCCAAAUACCGCAUCCAGGUCAUAGCGUCCCACCCCCCGCUGCCACCGGGGCCCUGACUUCAACACGGGAGGCAGACCAGACGCCACCGCCCUGGGAUCAGAGCUUGGGCCCGAGGGUUGGCCCCGUCUGCACUCUGGCUUUCGGAAUGAGGCUCGCUGUCAAUGCUGUGGUGGAGCUGCAUUCGUUUCCGGGGCUUCUAUAACAAGGUGCCAUAGAACAGGGCUCCAACAGCAGCCCAUUCUCCCACUGUCCUGGAGGCUGGAAGUUCGAGACCAAGGUGCCUGCAGAGUUGGUUCCUCCUGAGGCCUUUCUCCCUGGCUUGUAGAUGGCCCUCUUCUCCUGACUCCUCACACAGAGUCAUCCCUCUGUGUGUAUCUGUGUCCUAGUCUCUCUUCUUUUUCUUUUCGCUUCUUCUUUUUUUUUUUUUGAAGACAGGGUCUCUCUCUCUCUGUCACCCAGGCUGGAGUGCAGUGGUGUUAUCAUAGCUCACUGCAGCCUAGACCUCCCAGGCUCAGGUGAUGCUCCUACCUCAGCCUCCCAAGUAGCUGGGACCACAGACAUGUGUCACCACACCCGACUAAUUUUUUAUAUUUUGUUGUAGAGAUGGGGUCUCACUAUGUUGCCCAGGCUCAACUGGCUUUAAGCCAUCCUCCCACCUCGACCUUCCAAAGUGUUGGGAUUACAGGUGUGAGCCACUGAGCCUGGCCCUUAUCUCUUUUUCUCAGGACACGACUCAGGCCGGGCGUGGUGGCUCAUGCCUAUAAUCCCAGCACAUUGGGAGGCCAAGACGGGCGGAUCACCUGAGGUCAGGAGUUCCAGACCAGCCUGGUCAGCAUGGUGAAACCCCGUCUCUACUAAAAAUAUAAAAAUUAGCCAGGUGUGGUGGCCAGCGCCUGUAAUCCCAGCUACUCGGGAGGCUGAGGCAGGAGAAUCGCUUGAACCCAGGAGGCGGAGGUUGCAGUGAGCCAAGAUCGCACCAUUGCACUCUAGCCUGGGUGACAGAGUGGGACUCCGUCUCAAAAAAUAAAAAAAGUGGGGGAUGGGGGUGGGGGUGGGGGUGGGCCAGGCGCGGUGGCUCACGCCUGUAAUCCCAUCACUUUGGGAGGCCGAGACGGGUGGAUCACCUGAGGUCAGAAGUUCGAGACCAGCCUGACCAACAUGGGGAAACUUCAUCUCUACUAAAAAAUACAAAAAUUAGCCGGGUGUGGUGGUGGGUGCCUGUAAUCCCAGGUGCUCAGGAGGCGAAGCAGAAGAAUCACUUGAACCCAAGAGGUGGAGGUUGCAGUGAGCCAAGCUCGUGACACUGCACUCCAGACUGGGUGACAGAGCAAGACUUCAUUUCAAAGGAAAAAAAAAACAAGGCCAGCGGUCAUGUGGGAACAGGACUCGCUGUAAUCCCCUCUUUAAAGGCCAUAUCUGUAAAUACAG
rnacentral:lncRNA from 10 species